rnacentral:rRNA from 1 species
UGGGGAAUAUUGCACAAUGGGCACAAGCCUGAUGCAGCCAUGCCGCGUGUGUGAAGAAGGCCUUCGGGUUGUAAAGCACUUUCAGCGAGGAGGAAGGUGGUGAGCUUAAUACGCUCAUCAAUUGACGUUACUCGCAGAAGAAGCACCGGCUAACUCCGUGCCAGCAGCCGCGGUAAUACGGAGGGUGCAGCGUAAUCGGAAUUACUGGGCGUAAAGCGCACGCAGGCGGUUUGUUAAGUCAGAUGUGAAAUCCCCGGGCUCAACCUGGGAACUGCAUUUGAAACUGGCAAGCUAGAGUCUCGUAGAGGGGGGUAGAAUUCCAGGUGUAGCGGUGAAAUGCGUAGAGAUCUGGAGGAAUACCGGUGGCGAAGGCGGCCCCCUGGACGAAGACUGACGCUCAGGUGCGAAAGCGUGGGGCAGCAAACAGAUUAGAU